rnacentral:rRNA from 1 species
ACUGAACGCUGGCGGCAUGCCUUACACAUGCAAGUCGAACGGCAGCACGGGUGCUUGCACCUGGUGGCGAGUGGCGAACGGGUGAGUAAUAUAUCGGAACGUACCUUAUUGUGGGGGAUAACGCAGCGAAAGCUGUGCUAAUACCGCAUAAUCCCUAAGGGGGAAAGCGGGGGACCGUAAGGCCUCGCGCAAUUAGAGCGGCCGAUACCUGAUUAGCUAGUUGGGGAGGGAAAGGCCAACCAAGGCAACGAUCAGUAGCUGGUCUGAGAGGACGAUCAGCCACACUGGGACUGAGACACGGCCCAGCCUCCUACGGUAGGCAGCAGUGGGGAAUUUUGGACAAUGGGGGCAACCCUGAUCCAGCAAUGCCGCGUGAGUGAAGAAGGCCUUCGGGUUGUAAAGCUCUUUUGUCAGGGAAGAAACAGCAGCUCUAACACAGUAUGCGAAUGACGGUACCUGAAGAAUAAGCACCGGCUAACUACGUGCCAGCAGCCGCCGUAA